GGGCAUGCCCAACAACUGCUAAGGAGGUGGUGAAACGGGAACAACUUUAAAACCAAAGGCCAGGCUUUCUUUUUGGCCUCUGCCGCUUCACCUACUGCGCCGCGAUCAGCCCACUUGUUCCCUGCAAGGGAUCUCUGUCCCGGCCGAGACAGAAAAACCCGCCGGUGCUCCCGGGCCAGGUACCCGUUCCGGGCGGGAACACGCCCUGUGACAGCGCGCCCGGCCCUCGCCUUGGGUAACCUCGAUUCCGGGGCGGCAGCGGCCAGAGUCCGCAGCGCACGCGGCCGGGGCGGACCCGAGCCCGCCCGCCCAGUGCACGCCGGUCCCGCCGCCGGGCGCCCGCCGCCUCCUCAGCGGCGGCUCCGCUCGCGACCGCGCCGUCCCGCCUGGUGGCCCCUCGGCCACUCGCCCGCACAUGCUCGUGGCCACCAGGAGAGCUCGCAGGCUCUUCCACAGCCUCUUCCUGGCCCCGAGAAUGGGCGACACCACCUCUAAGAUCGUCAGCCCCCAGGAGGCCUUGCCGGGCCGGAAGGAGGCGAUCCUCGUAGCGGCCAAACAUCAUGUCAGUGGCAACAGAACAGUUGAACCUUUCCCAGAGGGAACACAGAUGGCUGUAUUUGGAAUGGGUUGUUUCUGGGGAGCCGAAAGGAAAUUCUGGACCCUGAAAGGAGUGUAUUCCACUCAAGUUGGCUUUGCAGGAGGCUACACUCCCAAUCCUACUUAUAAAGAAGUCUGCUCAGGAAAAACCGGCCAUGCAGAAGUAGUCCGAGUGGUGUACCAGCCAGAACGCAUCAGCUUUGAGGAACUGCUCAAGGUCUUCUGGGAGAAUCAUGACCCGACCCAAGGCAUGCGCCAAGGCAAUGACUACGGCUCUCAGUACCGCUCAGCCAUCUACCCAACCUCUGCGGACCACAUGGAGGCGGCCCUGAGGUCCAAAGAGGACUACCAGAAGCUCUUUCCAUCCCGGCACAUUGUAUUCAGUUUAUGUGGAAGUCUCCGGUUCCAUCCGCAGUUGGCCUACAGAGCCAAGUGGCUUGCUCAAGAGAUGCCACACUGAACAGCCAGCUGUGGUGAAGAAGGCGUGGGUCAGGACAGUUGCUAACUGAGCAUUCAGGCUGGCUCAGCAACUGAGCGAAGCCAGCGGAUUCCAGGCUUUGCGGUGAAAUGCCAUGUCUGUCUGCCUUCCCAACAGGCUCGAGGCAGAGCUAAAAUCGGAUGUAAUUAGUUUACAUGUCAGACCCAACAAUCCAUGCUGUACGUCAUGCAGGCGUGAUCAGUGUUUUCAAGGUGGUAUGAAACCUCAUAAUGAGCCAACGAAUAGUAUUAUUACAGUUGAAUAAACUGAAGCAUGAUUUAUGAUGAUUAAAAUUUAUUUGUAGCAUAUGUUUUUCUUUUUCUUUUUUUUCUCCCAAAGUGGAAUGUGUGCUUCUGUAGCACCAUCCAUUUGCAAAUUGCAUUCCCAAACCACUUUUUAAUUGUCUACUAAUCAGUUCGUGGGAGAGCUUAGUGAUGGUAGGUGACCCAGUUCUCCUUAUUCAACGAAUGUUAAUAUAACGCUUUGUUCCUUGGAGGGAGUGGGGGCUGGUCCCCGGUGGCCUUCACAUACAAGCCAACAGAUUUCUGCUGCAAAAAUUUUAAUAUUGUUUCUAAACAGUUUACGUGAAUUUGAAGACUUCACCAGCAAAUGAACAACAAAAGACAGAGAUUUUAAAAUAGUGUCCUAUAAAUAACUAGUUUUAUGUAUUCAGCCAAAUGAGAUAAUCUACAAUUUAUGGCCCUGCCAUCUCAGACCCCAUUCGGACAUAUGUGGGUGUCAAUAAUGAAUGAAUAAAUUAAGCCAUCCUCAGUCGUGCUGAGUGUCUCUCUAGGAGACAUCUCUUGUGGCUCUGUUGGUCACUCAAAGGUCUUUGAGGAAGAUGGAACGCUCUAUAGUCCCAAAUGGCAGCAUCAUGCCUAGAACUGACAUGUGAUCAUUAUCUCUAAGCCUCGGGAUUGGAGCUUCUCCCUCUUGGUAAGGAAGUAGCAUCUAUCACCUAAGAGAUACCGGCUUUGGAGUGAGAAGACCUGGGUUCUCCUCCUGUCCCUUAUACCAGGAGCUGUGUGACCAAGGCAGAUGCCUUUGUCUCUCUGGUCGUCCUUCACCACAUCUGUACCAAUAUGUCUCAGCAGCUGUCACCUCUAAUGUUGGUCUAGAGAGUGGUGACUGGUUCCCUCCACUCUCAGGCAUGCAACACCAGCCUUACCCAAUGGCCUUAAGAGGAGGCGUUUAUGUUGCAUAAAAUGAGAAUCAAAAAUUGUUAAGCAGCUGGAUGAGCUAACUGCAGUGAUUUUGAGGGGAUCUAGAACUUGAAACCUCAGGUUUCCAAGUCAGUGACAGCUCAGUUGACCAAAUAGUUCUCCAUUCUUGUGUGAGGUCGUAGAUUUUGAAGACCUCAGGUCUGCUCUUGGACCUGAGAAUGACUGCCAUGGCUAAGUUUCCUAUUCCUUAGUGCAUCGGUUAUCUAUCGCUGCCCAACAGACCACCUCAGAACUUGGUAGUGUAAAUCAAAGAUGAUUUUCUGUUUCUCAUGAUUCUGUGGGUUGUCUGGAUCAUUCUGUUGAUUUCAGCCUGGACUCAUUCAUGUGACUACGUUUAGUUGGUGGGUCACCUGGCGACUGGGCUCAGUUGGGGAGCUGGAUCUCUUUCUCUUCACGUGGUCUUUCCUCCUCAAGGAGGUUAGCCCGGGUUGGGCUGUCUCACAAGGUGGCGGCAGAAUGCUGAGCCCCGACGUACAGGUGCUUAUCAAGCCUCUGCUUAUUUUGCUGAUGUUCCAUUGGCUAAAGCAAGUCACGUGUUCAAGCCCAAAGUUGAUGUGUAAGGGGACUGCACAAGAUUGUGUCUCUCAGCAGGCAUGAUUCCUGGCUAUUAGUGUAACAGUCUACCACCCACCCCCUUAGCCACAGUCUUCUGGUCAGUAAGAUGGGAUUGGGUUACUAAGAAUGCAUAGAGGGCCAGCCUGAGAGUCAAGAGAUGUGCUUUUGUGUCCAGUCUAUUUCUAACUAGAAAUAGACAUUUUCCCCAGGAGUAAAGGGAGAGUCUUGGACCAAGUGAUCCAAGGGUCCACCUGUCAACACACAUACACACACACACACACACACUCCCUUUUCCAUCACCCAUACAAUUUGGAAAUCAGAUGUGCUUGGAAGUAUCUUGAAAGUGGUACAGAGCUAUGCAAAUGUAACUUACUAUUACAAAUAAUAUUCAUAAUGAAUUCUAGUAAAUAUAUUUUCAAGAAAACUUGUGAUGAGAUUGUAAAUGUAUCUGUUAAAAUAUAGCAUAAUUAAAAGAAGCACUUUCUUCAAGGUUCCAUUUCUUUUCUGGUGUUUUAAAUUCACUCUAACGAAGUUUGGCAAAUCGGGGUGUGUUUGCAUGAAGUUAAACCUGAUCGGAGGGGACUAAAACCUCAAAUCUGCCAUUUCGUUGCAGCCUUUGUUCAAAAUGGAGGCGUUUUAGCGAAUUCAUGUUUUUAUUUAACCAUUUGACAGCCUGCUCUGAUACAGUCGUAAUUCAGCCAUCCUCUCCUGUCUUCCUCAUGUUUUGUUUAUUUACUUGGUUUGUUGUGUCAUAUUUGUGUCUAGGUGUGUGUGUUAGGGCAGCUCAAGCAUCACCUCUUGCUCAGUGUUUUAAAUUUGCAAAGUCCCCUAAGGGUAGUAGGGCGUCCCUGGACCCCUUACUUCUUCUACGGUGGGCAGAGACUGAGUGACUUUGGGUCCUUGCCUCAGUAAGUGUAGACUCAUGCCUACCCAUUCCUUUGCUCACUCUCUGAAAACUAGUCCUGGAAAGAUGGGACUAAAGAUUCAGAAUCAGCUCUUGCCUCUUUAUGGACGACUUUACACUCAGCAUAAACUUUAUACUGCUUCUCCUGGCUUAAAAUGUCAUUCCUAAUAUAGUUGCUGAUUCCCUGCUCUCCUUAGCCCAAACUCCCUUCCCUUCUGCUGACCCUCCACCUCAACACACAUCCACUGCACUCCAGUCCUGCACAGUCACAUGCUGUGGUGGAAAUCAAUGAAGACCACCGAAUGGGAGCGAGGAAUGGCUCUUCAUUCAGACCUUACUAUAACAAAGGAGUCAGCCACUGUCACUUGCGUUUGGCAGAGACUCAGAGGCAAGCAGGAGAGGGAAAGCUGCCUAGUGGAAAGAAGGGAAGGCUUCCAGUGUGCCCUGACUGGAGGCUGUGGGCAUGGGGAAGUUGCAGGGGGGCUAACUAGAAGUGGGAUAUCCUAUGCGAUUGGGUAGGGGUGCAUAUUUGGCUUUCUGUGGUUGGUCCUUAGUUGGAAGUAGGGGCAUACACUAGGGAAACUGGCAGUUAUUAGCUGAGUCCUGGCUGUUUGGGGCCAAUUGCUACAGGGGUUAUUGUUUGGCUUCCGGGGCUGGUGACUGUGGACAGUAGGUCGGCUUCCUGGGCUGGGUGCUCCAGAUCAGAGUUCUCUUUUUAUAGAUAGUCUGGUCAUUGUCCACCUGUAUAUUCAGUCUCUCACCAUUCCCCCAACUCAAGGUGCUAGUCUGCUGCUACUUGUUCUCUUUCCUCACACAUUCCUUUCCUGACUCCAUAAUUCUGGCGUAAGCCCCCCUCCAAUGUGUUUUCAUAGCACCUGCAUUUUUAUCGUAACACUUAUCCUCAUUUAUUAUAAUCGUUACUAGUUUGUUUCCUUUUUCAGUCCAGAAACUCCUUUAGGGCAGGGAGUCUGUCUUGUUCACCAUUGUAUCUCCAGUCCCUAGCACAGUGUCUCGUAGCCAGUCAGCUUAUAGUAAAUAUAAAUGUUAAUUACAUAUAGUUAUAAAAAUAUCAUUAUAUAAUGACUGAUGAAUAUCAAAUACAGCCCAAUUUGUCUCCUACUUUCCACCUUCCAGUCCACUUUUCCUGCGGCUUUAUGGAUAUUUUUAACUGGAUACCCCACUUGCAUCUCACAAUUAAUAUGUCUACAACCAAACUUUUGGUCUUUUUCCCAAGCUAAUUCCUCCUUGAGACACUGGAGGCUGUGGGCAUGGGGAAGUUGUAGGGGGCGCUAACUAAACACUCCCAUUUUUUAAAGUCCCACUGUUCUACCAAACACUUUCCUUGUCCCCCACAGCCAUGGGGUCCCCAGUACAUCUCCUUCAUCUUUGUCUUUUCCAUUUCUGUUCACUCCUAUUUCAACCCUUAUUCUGUUGCCUCAGCCUCCCACCUGGUCACUGGGUUCUAGUCUCAUCCUGUCUAAUCCAUCCUCCACAUUGUUCCAAACUUCCACUUUGGUUUUGCUUCUUUUUUGCUCUUCUGUGGCCUCACACAUCAGAGCCUGGCAUUCAGAGCUCUGUACAAUAGGAUCUGAAAUGAUUACGCCCACCAUAGUGCUCACUCCUCCUUGACACACACUUGACUGUCUGAUCAGAUUGUCCUAAUUCUCAUUUCUAGGACUUGCCUUUCCCUUCCCUCCUGUCUGCUGCCUUUACCAUCACUCCAGCCUAAAUGAAUGACUAGUCACUCCCCUGCAUCAUCCCAGUGGCAGUGAUAUAUGCUGCCCUGUGUUGCAGUUAGCAAAGCAGAUCCUUCUCUCUCUUACUGGACUAAGCUCAUUGAAACACCCACCCUAGCUAUCUUUGGUUUUUUAUAGAAUAAGCACAUAAAUAUUUGUUGAACGCAUGAAUGAAUGAUGCAGCUGGUCUGUGCGUCGAGAACAACCCUCAUAUAAAAUGGGUUCAUCUUUAGAUUGACUUGGGGUUGAUUAAUUCAAACCUGCAAUUGAGAGUUUGCUUGUAAAUCGUGGGAUCAUAUAGACAGAGUAUCAGAGUAAUUAUGUGUCUGAACUAUCGGCAUUUACUUAGUCCUUCCUUUUGUCGUGCUACUAAAUUACUGUGUAUUUGAGGAAGGGCUAGGGCCCUCUCCCCAGGGGAUCUCUUUUUGAGGUCUGUACCAGCAGCAUGGCCAAAUGCCUGUUUCCCAACUUAUAUCCAGAGAUAAUUGGCUUCUCUUUAGUAGCAGUUCAGUUCACAGUACUGAGGCAUCUAAAAUAUUGAUUUCCUUCCUCCUUAACACUUUGCACUCAUAUAUUGUACUGGAAAGAGGGAUAGUUUGGCAGAAUUGGGACUAACAGGUAGCUGGGCUCUGGGAGGUAUUCGAGGAGAGAAGGCUUGCUGAAGAAGAGGCACGCAUAACGAGUCUCAGAGACCAGCCUGGUGGAAAAGAAGGAAAUGCUGCUCUGUGGCUUGCACUAUCCGAAAAACUUGCCAACUUGGUAUUUUGGUUUGUGAAUUUCUGCAUCUGAUGAAGAGAAUGCCAGCACCAUGUAAGAUGCCAGCCUAAGAAAGUGGAAUAAAAAGAAGGCCUACAUACAUCGGAAACUAAUAGGGUAUUGUUAUGUCAGGUCUAUUUCAAUUAAAAAAAAGAACGCCUACAAAAUCUGAAUAAUCAUAUGCAAUUCAUCUAUUAGUUUUAAAACACGAUUAGAUAAAGCAAAUUAUGCAUGAUAAUCAUAAAUUAAAACAAUCACAAAUAAAACAGAAUACAUUCAUUGUUUAAGUUGCUGAAAUUUAUAUUUAGAGAUUCCUUUGGUAGCACCAACAUUUACAGUGCCAGCAGAUUCACCUUUGUUGUCAUGAGUUGCAAGGCAGCUCUUUCAAAUGGCUUUAAUAACAUGCACAAUGCAUGCUUCGCAUACAGCGUUUCUCUGAUCUGCUACGUUCUUCUCCAUUCUCCUUGGUUUCAUCAUGAUAUACAUUUAUACAUACUAUUCCCUCAGAAUAUCUUUAGCCCUUCAUUUUUUUUCAUUCUUCAAGAUUGAAUUAAAAGCCCAACUCUUCUGUGACGCCGCCCUUAACUCCCUUUGUCAUUGCGUUCUCCUCUGCAACCAUUUGGCAUCCUGCCCAUUUGCUAACAUUUGCACGUUUGCAUUCGUGACCUUGGUAAUGAGCCUUGAGCAUGUGUCUCUGAGUCCUCUAAGUCCUCGAAGAUAUGAGGCCUUGCCUUCGUUGGUUUUGUAAACUCCCUCCACACCAUGCCCAGCACAAGGCUGACACUUAUUGGAAAUCAGUAAAUAUUUAUUCAAUGAAAUUGGACUGGUACAGGACUGGGACUCUGACAGCUUAGUUCUUAGAGAACUGCUGUCUCCCCAUUGCUGUUCAUUUGGCCCUCAAGUCCCAUCACCCUUAAUGUCUCUAACAGGUCACUCUUGAGUUCUCUGUGUGAGGCCCGUGAAUGCUAAAAUGUCAGAGCUAAGGGGGCCAAGGGGCCUUUUCAUAUAAUGCCCUUGUCUUCGUUCCUUCAGGCUGCUGUAACAAAAUAUCACAGACUGGGUAGCUUUUAAACAAUAGAACUUUAUUUCUCACAGCU